AUCUAGAAACAUUCGUCUAAUUAAGAAAGAUGGAAUCAAAGAGUCUGUGUAUAUUUGAUUUAAGAGUGUUCCAAUAAUGUUGAUAAAAAUUAGCUGGAAAGCCAUAUGGGCCAGGGUUUUUGUCACUAGCCACGUUAAAUAGAGCUUCCUUCAUCUUUUCCUCUAUGAAGGGAUUUUCUAGAUCUAAGAGGUCCACUUGGUCUUUCUAAAAUAAAAAGUCCCAAUUUGCCAGGAUGUUGGGUCG
rnacentral:lncRNA from 1 species